rnacentral:rRNA from 1 species
GGGUGUGUAAUGUCUGGGAAACUGCCUGAUGGAGGGGGAUAACUACUGGAAACGGUAGCUAAUACCGCAUAACGUCGCAAGACCAAAGAGGGGGACCUUCGGGCCACAUGCCAUAGGAUGAGCCCAAGUGGGAUUAGCUAGUAGGUGGGGUAAAGGCUCACCUAGGCGACGAUCCCUAGCUGGUCUGAGAGGAUGACCAGCCACACUGGAACUGAGACACGGUCCAGACUCC